rnacentral:tRNA from 1 species
GUGAGCAUAGUUUAAUAAAAACGUCAGAUUGUGAUUCUAAAGACAGAGGUUAAACCCCUCUUGCCCACC